rnacentral:sRNA from 1 species
AAUUAUAUUACUGCUUAAUGUUCAUCCAUGCCCUUCUUUUUACAAUAAUGAACAUGUAUAAUAAUCUAAAAAUUUUA